GUUGAGAAUUGGCCGAAUCUGAUAUGUUUCAGUACGGGGGAGAUUUUUGCUUUUUGGGGUGAACCGCCUUAGGGCGGAGGGUUGCUCUCGACCCGAACCCGUCAACUAACCUCGGAGGCCCUACGGGAGGUUAC
rnacentral:sRNA from 1 species